rnacentral:ncRNA from 2 species
UAGGUUGGCGAUCGUCGAGGUUCUUUGCGUCGCCGCGCGGCGUAAAGCUAAGACGGGAAGCCGGUUAAAAACCGGCGCUGCCCCCGCAACUGUAAGCGGUGAGCGGCGGUCGAUACGUGUCACUGGUUCGCAAGGAACCGGGAAGGCCAGGCUGCCGUGCUGAUCCGUGAGCCAGGAGACCUGCCUCGUCAGAUACGUCCUC